UCAGGACGAACGCUGGCGGCGUGCCUAAUACAUGCAAGUCGAACGAACUCUGGUAUUGAUUGGUGCUUGCAUCAUGAUUUACAUUUGAGUGAGUGGCGAACUGGUGAGUAACACGUGGGAAACCUGCCCAGAAGCGGGGGAUAACACCUGGAAACAGAUGCUAAUACCGCAUAACAACUUGGACCGCAUGGUCCGAGCUUGAAAGAUGGCUUCGGCUAUCACUUUUGGAUGGUCCCGCGGCGUAUUAGCUAGAUGGUGGGGUAACGGCUCACCAUGGCAAUGAUACGUAGCCGACCUGAGAGGGUAAUCGGCCACAUUGGGACUGAGACACGGCCCAAACUCCUACGGGAGGCAGCAGUAGGGAAUCUUCCACAAUGGACGAAAGUCUGAUGGAGCAACGCCGCGUGAGUGAAGAAGGGUUUCGGCUCGUAAAACUCUGUUGUUAAAGAAGAACAUAUCUGAGAGUAACUGUUCAGGUAUUGACGGUAUUUAACCAGAAAGCCACGGCUAACUACGUGCCAGCAGCCGCGGUAAUACGUAGGUGGCAAGCGUUGUCCGGAUUUAUUGGGCGUAAAGCGAGCGCAGGCGGUUUUUUAAGUCUGAUGUGAAAGCCUUCGGCUCAACCGAAGAAGUGCAUCGGAAACUGGGAAACUUGAGUGCAGAAGAGGACAGUGGAACUCCAUGUGUAGCGGUGAAAUGCGUAGAUAUAUGGAAGAACACCAGUGGCGAAGGCGGCUGUCUGGUCUGUAACUGACGCUGAGGCUCGAAAGUAUGGGUAGCAAACAGGAUUAGAUACCCUGGUAGUCCAUACCGUAAACGAUGAAUGCUAAGUGUUGGAGGGUUUCCGCCCUUCAGUGCUGCAGCUAACGCAUUAAGCAUUCCGCCUGGGGAGUACGGCCGCAAGGCUGAAACUCAAAGGAAUUGACGGGGGCCCGCACAAGCGGUGGAGCAUGUGGUUUAAUUCGAAGCUACGCGAAGAACCUUACCAGGUCUUGACAUACUAUGCAAAUCUAAGAGAUUAGACGUUCCCUUCGGGGACAUGGAUACAGGUGGUGCAUGGUUGUCGUCAGCUCGUGUCGUGAGAUGUUGGGUUAAGUCCCGCAACGAGCGCAACCCUUAUUAUCAGUUGCCAGCAUUAAGUUGGGCACUCUGGUGAGACUGCCGGUGACAAACCGGAGGAAGGUGGGGAUGACGUCAAAUCAUCAUGCCCCUUAUGACCUGGGCUACACACGUGCUACAAUGGAUGGUACAACGAGUUGCGAACUCGCGAGAGUAAGCUAAUCUCUUAAAGCCAUUCUCAGUUCGGAUUGUAGGCUGCAACUCGCCUACAUGAAGUCGGAAUCGCUAGUAAUCGCGGAUCAGCAUGCCGCGGUGAAUACGUUCCCGGGCCUUGUACACACCGCCCGUCACACCAUGAGAGUUUGUAACACCCAAAGUCGGUGGGGUAACCUUUUAGGAACCAGCCGCCUAAGGUGGGACAGAUGAUUAGGGUGAAGUC
rnacentral:rRNA from 1 species